GCAGUGGUGGUACAGGGCUAGAAUUCUCACCUUCCAUGCAGGAGACCUAGGUUCGAUUCCCGGCCAUUGCA
rnacentral:tRNA from 1 species